rnacentral:rRNA from 1 species
CUACGUGCCAGCAGCCGCGGUAAUACGUAGGGCGCAAGCGUUGUCCGGAAUUAUUGGGCGUAAAGAGCUCGUAGGCGGCUGGUCGCGUCUGUCGUGAAAACUUCCGGCUCAACCGGGGGCUUGCGGUGGGUACGGGCCGGCUAGAGUGCGGUAGGGGUAACUGGAACUCCUGGUGUAGCGGUGGAAUGCGCAGAUAUCAGGAAGAACACCGAUGGCGAAGGCAGGUUACUGGGCCGUUACUGACGCUGAGGAGCGAAAGCGUGGGGAGCGAACAGGAUUAGAUACCCUGGUAGUCCACGCCGUAAACGAUGGGUACUAGGUGUAGGAGGUAUCGACCCCUUCUGUGCCGGAGUUAACGCAAUAAGUACCCCGCCUGGGGAGUACGACCGCAAGGUUGAAACUCAAAGGAAUUGACGGGGGCCCGCACAAGCGGUGGAGUAUGUGGUUUAAUUCGACGCAACGCGAAGAACCUUACCAGGUCUUGACAU